rnacentral:rRNA from 1 species
GCAAGCGUUAUUCGGAAUUAUUGGGCGUAAAGGGCGCGUAGGCGGCCUGGCAAGUGGAAGGUGAAAUCCCUCGGCUUAACCGAGGAACUGCCCUCCAAACUGCUUGGCUUGAGUCCGGGAGAGGUGAGUGGAAUUCCCAGUGUAGCGGUGAAAUGCGUAGAUAUUGGGAGGAACACCAGUGGCGAAGGCGGCUCACUGGACCGGAACUGACGCUGAGGCGCGAAAGCGUGGGGAGCAAACGGG